rnacentral:rRNA from 1 species
CGUAGGGGGCGAGCGUUACCCGGAUUUACUGGGCGUAAAGCGCGUGUAGGCGGCUGGCCAAGCGUGGUGUGAAAUCUUCGGGCUUAACCCGAAAACUGCAUUGCGAACUGGUCUGGCUAGAGUGUGUGAGAGGGUAGUGGAAUUCCCGGUGUAGCGGUGAAAUGCGUAGAUAUCAAGCGGAACACCGGUGGCGAAGGCGGCCUUCUGGACAGUGACUGACGCUGAGACGCGAAAGCGUGGGGAGCAAACAGG